rnacentral:rRNA from 1 species
GACGAACGCUGGCGGCGUGCUUAACACAUGCAAGUCGAACGGAAAGGCCCUGCUUUUGUGGGGUGCUCGAGUGGCGAACGGGUGAGUAACACGUGAGUAACCUGCCCUUGACUUUGGGAUAACUUCAGGAAACUGGGGCUAAUACCGGAUAGGAGCUCCUGCUGCAUGGUGGGGGUUGGAAAGUUUCGGCGGUUGGGGAUGGACUCGCGGCUUAUCAGCUUGUUGGUGGGGUAGUGGCUUACCAAGGCUUUGACGGGUAGCCGGCCUGAGAGGGUGACCGGCCACAUUGGGACUGAGAGACGGCCCAGAAGCGUACGGGAGGCAGCAGGGGGGAAUAUUGCAGAAUGGGCGGAAGUCUGAUGCAGCAACGCCGCGUGCGGGAUGACGGCUUUUGGGUUGUAAACCGCUUUCGCCUGUGACGAAGCGUGAGUGACGGUAACGGGUAAAGAAGCAACGGCUAACUACGUG